UACGAAGGGGGCGAGCAUUGUUCGGAUUUACUGGGCGUAAAGGGCGCGUAGGCGGCCUUGUCAGUCAGGCGUGAAAGCCCCGGGCUCAACCUGGGAACGGCGCUUGGGACGGCGAGGCUGGAGUUCGGGAGAGGAGAGUGGAAUUCCCAGUGUAGAGGUGAAAUUCGUAGAUAUUGGGAAGAACACCGGUGGCGAAGGCGGCUCUCUGGACCGACACUGACGCUGAGGCGCGAAAGCGUGGGGAGCAAACAGG
rnacentral:rRNA from 1 species